UACUUGGCUUGAGCCAAUUUCUAAAAAAAAGGGGCCCAAUUUCCCUCUUUCUUGACCAACCCAAUACCAUACCCAAAUACCUAUUACCCUUUACCCUAAUCCCUCACAUAAAAGGAGACCUAAUACACUAAAGAGAGAUCAGAUUUUUCCAUAUUGAGGCCUCUUAACAACAAAAACGACGCUCUCAUCUUCUUAAGAAACCAGAAAACUUUUAGGAGCCAUCACCCCCAAUUCUCUCAAAGAACAGACCCUUCUCCUACACCUACGAAGCUACCGUACCUACUAAGGGAAAAAUUGAGAAAAGAAGACCUUUAUUGAAUUGGUAAAUCUGCAGUCUCAAAACUGAAGAGAACAUAUAGAAUACAAGUCAUUUUAUGUCGAUCCUUGCUCAAAAUUUACAUAAAAGAAGCAGUGUUGUUUCCCAUCAAAUGGAAAGUUCUCUCAUUCAUAUUUCUGGGUUUUCAAAAUGGGUUUCGCUCAAGGUUGAGGUAUUUUACCUAUGACCUUCUUUGUAACUUCAGAGCAUGUUAAGUAUAAUAGCACGACAUGAUUGUAUUGAAAUUGGAAGUGUCCUGGUGUAUUUCACUUGAUGAAUUUUGAAGGCGGAAACUAAUUUUCAAUUUCUGUUUGCUUGGAUAUAUUUAUUUAGGUUGUUUAAUGAAUUAAAGUUGGUUGAAA